UCCCUGGUGGUCCAGUGGCUUAGACUCUGCACUCCUGAUGCGGGGCCCCAGGUUCGAUCCCUGCUCAGGGAA